ACACUUACCUGACCGAGGAGACACCAUGAUCACGAAGGUGGUUUUUCCCAGGGCGAGGUUCAUCCAUUGCACUCUGGAUGUGCUCAGCCCUGCGAUUUCCCCAAAUGCUGAAAACUCAACUGCAUAAUUUGUGGUAGUUGGGGACUGCGUUCAUGCUCUCCCCUG
rnacentral:snRNA from 1 species